rnacentral:lncRNA from 1 species
GGGUUACAAUCUCUCUCUAUUUUGAUCCUCUGAUUCGAUCUCCGUAAGGUGUUGAUUUGUGGGAUGUGCGAUUGAUCCAAGGGCCGUCGAGGCUUGAUCUUGGAUGAACGAGGAUGAACGGAUCUUCAAGGGCUUUUGGGCUUGAUCUUGAAGAAUGGUGAUUGACGGAUCUUCAAGGGCUUUUGGGCUUGAUCUUGAAGAACAGUGAUGAACGGAUUUCCGAGGGCUUUUGGGCUUGAACUCGAAGAACAGUGACGAAACGGAUCUUCGAGUGCUUUUGGGCUUGAACGGAUCUUCGAGGGCUUUUGGGCUUGAUCUCGAAGAACAGUGAUGAACGAUGAACGCUUUCUUCAAGGGCCGUCAGGACUUGGGCUUGAUGAACAGCGGAUGAGCGGAUUUGUUGAUGUUGUCGAUCCAAAGGGGCCGUUGGGGCUUGAUCCUUGAGGAUGAACAGUUGAUGAACGAUGAACGCUUUCUUCAAGGGCCGUCGGGGCUUGAUCUUGAAUUGGUGGAUGAUUGUUGAUCCAACGGGCCGUCGGGGCUUGAUCUUAGGAUGAACGAUGAACGAAGAACGCUUUCUUGAUUCUUCGGGAACCUGGAUGCUUGAGAGCUUCGGAGUUUCAGAGCUUCAGAGCUUCAAGAAUUUUGCCUAAUGAUUUUUUGGUCCCCCAAAUGAAUGAAAUGGGCUUGUAUUUAUAGAAUUUUCCAAGGCCUAAUUUUGAAUAUAAUAUUCCAGAUGAAAUAAGUCGUUUCUGCCAGGUGUUGACACGUGUCCUAUUUGAUGACUUUUCCAACUCAUUUCAAUUUUCGUUGAGUCACACGUUACGUGUAAAAUUUAUGUAAUACAUGAGCGUUGACACUUUGAUUUACCGGUCAACAUUUAUUUACCGAAAUUUCGAUGUCUACAAAUGCCCCCACUUCAAGGCACGUCGUAUACAUGUGCUUGUCACGUGUAGGAGAUGCGUUUUGAAGUCCCUUACUGUAGAUGUCGAUCCAAGGGCCAUCGAGGCUUGAUCUUGAAUUGGGCUGGAGAUUUCUUCAAGGGCCGUUGAGGCUUGAUCUUGAAUUGGGCUUGAGAUUUCUUCAAGGGCCGUUGAGGCUUGUUCUUGAACUUUUGUUUGAAAUUUCUUCAAAGGCCUUCGAGACUUGAUCUUGAAGGUUGAAAUUGGACCACAAGGAGCUUCAUGUGGUAGAUGAUCUUUGGCUUUGGUAGUGGGUAAAUCGGCACCUACUUUUGUUGUGCUUGUUGACUUUCCACAGCUUUGAUCUUGAACUGGGUUGGAGGAUUUUCUGGAUUCCUCCAAUUGUUGAUUUUCCACAGCUUAUUCUUGAACUAGGUUUUUGAUUCAAGGGUGGUAGACACUUAAUCUUGAAUCGGACUUGUGAUUUCCUCAAGGGCCGUCGAGGCUUGAUCUUGAAUUUGGCUGGAAACUUCUUCAAGGGCCGUUGAGGCUUGAUUCUUGAAGGUUGACUCGAACACAUGGCAAGCAGGCACGAGGUGAGGGUGACAACCUGUUUCUUUGUUCAAUCUUUCUAAUUCACACCUGAGCAGUUUGGUCAACGGUAUGAUCUUCAAGAUUGAUGGGCUUUUCUUCCAGUUGGUGACUUGAUAUUUAAGGAUUCGAUUCGAGGGUGGUGAAUCGGCACGUGCAGCCCACAACGCCUAGUAAGUCGACCCAAGAAUUUGAGGGUCAAAACAGGUUCACUGUCCUCAGGCAGAUGCGACCUCUUAUCGAGUUCUUCAUCUCGGACUCUUUCUGCUGAGUUGACUGUGCAUGCUGCAUUCUUCUCUGCUUGUUUCUUCAGGUAGAUAUGGCAGCCUCUCGAGUUCCUCAGUUCGGACUCCUUCUGCUGAGUUGACCGUGGAGACCGCAUUCUUCUCUGCUUGUUCCUUAUGCACCUUGUCUCCACAUGCUGCAAGGUAUCAUUUUCACUUGCCUUAUCUGUUCUUCAGGCAGAUGUGGCAGCUUCUUUGAAAGUACAGCAGCAGUGGAAGGCGAGUACUCGAGAGCAGUGCUAGGUAGGCAAUCAGGGAAGGGUUCCAAGUAGUCGGUUCCUUACCCGAGUUUGAGUGGAAGUUCCGGCAUAUUGUUUUCUUUAUCCUUGUCUUUUGUAGGUAAGAACAAGGACAAAGGAAAGGACAGGGAGAACGCAUGAUAUGAGAUACUCUUGCUUUCUACCCUGGUGAUAUGAUGAUACUUUUGCUUUGGAGUCAUUGGCUUGCAGAGGUACCCCAAGGAAUAAGGAACACUGGGUAACUCAAGAGGCUUCGUUGGGAAGGCAUCCUCAGAGAUGAAGAAAGGUUCUGUAUGUCUGCCUUGCUAUGGAGGGUGAAGAUGGACAGUUAUAGGAAGUUCUUUAACACCUGUAGAUGUACUAUUCUUUCACUCGUGUCGGCAACCGUUGGAUGAUUGAACAGUAUACUUCACGUGUUUUCUCCUUCACCGAAAAUCUUCGACAAAUUGCCCGUGAUUUUUGCCAAGCUGAGUGUGCAUGUGACAGGUGUUGACGCGGCUGAAAAAAAGAUGGCGCCUCUUCGAUAACUGGGAUCGGCGCUUCGACAAAUUACCCGUGAUUUCCGCAAAGCUGAGUUUGCGUGUGAUGGGUGCCGACACGUCUGGAAAAGCAAGAUGCUUCUCCGAUUUCUGAGCUUGCCUCUUCGAUUUUUGAAUGGCCUCUUCGAAUUCUGAGCUCGCCUUUUCGAUCUCUGAAAUCCCGUCGAGUGCUGAUUUUUUAUAGAGGCAUGCAGUUCGUUUCAAAACACACUUGAAUUUUCGCUUGUGAAAACUCCCCUCUUGUACUUCUAAGAUCUUGAUUUGUCCGAUCUCUUCUUCCUUCAACACUUUGAAAAUGUCUGGACCCUCCGACCGUCGUUUUGAUUUGAACCUUGGUGAAGAGGUAGUCCCGUCUUCUCCAGAUAACAUAUGGCGCCCAUCCUUCAUAUCCCCUACUGGUCCUCUUACUGUUGGGGAUUCGGUGAUGAAGAAUGAUAUGACCGCUGCGUGGUGGCCCGGAACCUUGUCACUCCCAAAGAUAACAGACUACUUUCCCAGGCGGUCUGAUGAGUUGGCUGUUAAGGAGUCCCUGGCUCUUAGUGUGCAGUGUGCGGGUUCUGUGUCCAACAUGGCCCAACGCCUAUUUGCUCGAACCCGUCAAGUUGAAUCGUUGGCGGCUGAAGUGAUGAGUCUCAAACAGGAGAUCAGAGGGCUCAAGCAUGAGAAUAAACAGUUGCACAAGCUUGCACACAACUAUGCCACAAACAUGAAGAGGAAAAUUGACCAGAUGCAGGAAUCUGAUGGUCAGAUCUUACUUGAUCAUCGGAGGUUUGUGGGUUUGUUCCAGCAACAUUUACCUUCGUCUUCUGGGGCUGUACCGACUGCUGAGGCUUCAAACAGCCAACCUCUGACGCCUUCUCUUCCUGGAGUUCCGCCGAGUGAUGAUGCUCUGAAUAAUCACCCUCUGGUGCCUCUCCGAUCUAGGGCUCCGCCGAGUACUGAGGCGCCAUCUGAUCAACCUUGAAGAUCCCCUCCUGUAAAAUUGAUUUGUCCUUUUUUUUUUUUUUUUUUUUUUUUUUUUUUUUUUUUUAAUGAUAUGUGGAAUGUGAAUUCAUGUAAAAUUUUUUUUAGAGAAAUAAAUAAAAGAUGGACUUUACUAAAUGCAUUAUAUAUAUAUAUAUACAUAUAUAUAUUUCAUAUGUUUCUCAUGGUGCCAGAUGCUCUACCAAUUUUUUUUUUUAUUUUUUUUUUAUUAUUUUAAAUUUAAUUUUUAAUGGUGCCAGAUGCACCAUCCCACCCAUUUGUUUUUUGUAAUUUUUUAUUGUAUUUUUUUUUAUUUUUUAUUUUUUAUAUAUAUGGUGCCAUCCGCACCAUUCCUACACUCCCUUUUUUUUAUUAUUUUUUUAAUUUUUAAUUUUUAAUUUAUUUAUUAUUAUAUAUAUAUAUAUAUAUUCUUUUCAAAACCUUUGCCUUUCGGUGGUGCUGUGCCACCAAGAUUCCCACUUUCUUUUCUUUAUUUAUUAUUAUUAUUAUUAUUUUUUUAUUAUUAUUAUUAUUAUUUUUUAAUAUAUAUAUAUUUCUUUUCUUUUUUCUGCACAUGGUGCCAGACGCACCAUGAAGCCCCUUAUCUUUUAAUUCCUUCCUUUUUUUUUCACGUGGUGCUGCUGAUCCACCACUUCUUUUUUUUUUUUUUUUUUUUUUUUUUUUCGUGCUGGAUGCACCACAUACAUAUAUAUACAUAUAUUUUUUUAUAUACAUACACAUAUAAACACGCACACAAAGCAUCAAAAAGAAUUCUAAUCUUUAUUUUUUUAUUUUUUUAUUUUUUAUUAUUAUUAUUAUUGUUAUUUUUUUUUUUAUAUAUAUAUAGGGAUAGAGGGCUUGCAGAGAGCAUCGACGGAGAUGGACGGAGAAAGGAGGAGGAAGGUGGCGCGCGCCGUUGGUCUGGAGGCGGCAAGGAUGAACUUUGAAGGAAUCUCUCAAGACACCCUAUACUCCCCCAACGAGCUUUAAUCAUCAGCAACGUACGCCGACUUGUCUACCAUGUUCGACCCGAAGUCCGCCAUUAAUUCCACCAGCGGCUUCAUGAUUCCCGACUCGACGGCUCUAAUCUUGUUUUCUUUGACCGAGCAGAGUGAGUACAAAGCCGUCGAUGCGUCUUUCUUCCCACGAAAGCCUCCACACUCCAGAAAGUUCACCAGAAGCGGAAUCGCUCCCGACCGUCCGAUUGUGGCUUUGUUGUCUUCGAUUUGCGAGAGGUUGAGAAUCGCGGUGACGGUGGCUGAGGAUGGAGGAUUGCAAGAGCUUCCAUUGAAGGGCAAGGACAGCAAUGGAGGUCCUCGUGAACACCAGCAACUCUGCCACCCGCGAGGUGGUGCACCCCUACGACGACGUUGUCUUGAUCCAGCCGGGGAGGAUUCCUGACGAGUCUUUCAUUCGUGUUCUCCAUCCAUUGCCUCUACAACCCCUCCGCGUCUUUGACCACUGCGCUUCCAUGACUUUUCAGAUCGUUUGACUUAGAAGCAGCUAGGGGAUCCACAUGACUCUUAGAAGCACCGCUUUGCUUGCUCGGAUCUCCAGCGGUCUGAACCUGGGCAUCUGGAAUCAAGUACGACAGGCCCAUCUUCGAGAAGCAAUUAACAAGCUCCGCAAACACCAGAUUGGAUGAUGCAACUUUUGAAGCCCAUUCAAUAGGAAACUUCAAAGCAAAUUCACAAAGUGGCUCUGGCAGGGAUUUCACAACUUCGAUUUCGUCAUCGUCGUCAUCAAUUUGUUGAUAGGGGUUUGACGGUUGUUGCGCUGAGCGACAUCACGGCCAGGCAGACGACCGGGAAGAAGAUGGAGGAGAUUCACGAGUUUCGAGGCUUCAAAUCCGACGGUGGAGGUGAAAUCUCGUCCCGGCUCAGCCCUGAAUCUGAAUCUCCUUCUGUUGAUUUUGAUUUUGACCUUGACCUUGCUUGUCAUGCUCUGCGUCGUUGAUGCCGUUUGUCAUCAGUUCGAGUUGACACAUCGACGGCGGCUUUACCAGUGGGCUCACCGACCGACUCGGCCUUGUACACUUUGCACUCGUUCAAGUCGAUCGAGCUCCAUGAUUGGUUUCACCGGCGCGAAUUUACAGGAGAGUCGAAAUUGUCGUCUGACUUCAACGCCUCUGGCGGCGGCAUGGCUGCUGCUUCUUCAAUGGAGGGGAGGAAGAAAAAUUGAAAGGAAGGUCGAGUAUGGAGCAGAUUUUAAGUCGGAGGCCGUCGUCUCUUGGGUCGACGAGCGGCUUCGAAGUGCUGCGGGAGAUGGCAGAGCGACUGGGCGAGUAAGGGAACUACGAAGGAUCUCGCUGUCAAAAACUGGAUUGACGGAAUGGGUGCGAGAGUGAAGGCAGCGAUGGAAGCAGUUGUGGGUGAUGAGGGAUUUCGGGUAGAAGAAGCUGAAACGAGAGAGAGACAGGUGGCUGGGUUGACCCUUCAAGAUGGUCCUUCACACAAAGAGGGCCUGGGCGACUUCUUUUGAUGGGCUUGCCGCAGAUUGGGCCUGGUGUUGCUUUAGGGUCCAUAUAUAUAUUUGUUUUUCUUUUUUUUUUUUUUUUUUUUUUCAAAGAAACUGUAAUUUAAUUUUGUACAAAGAAAAUUGCAAAUAAAUUUGUAAUAAAAUUGACCUUCAUCAAUGAGACUUUAAUCAAACCCUUUUUUUUUUUUUUUUUUUUUUUUUUUAUGUGACUGAACUCGAAAUUGAAUGCUCGAGUUGCCUACGUACCCUUCCAAAGAAAGAGAUCAAGUCAAAACGUAGUUCAAAUACAUAGAUAUUUUUUUGUAUUUUCUUUUGGUGGUGCCGUUUGCAGUUUCAACUCGUGCAGGCAAGGAGUGUUGGUGUCGUUUGCAGUUUCAACUCGUGCAGGCAAGGAGCGUUUUGCCAUGCAGUUUUAGGCUCGUGCAGGCGAGGAGCCUUGUGUCCUACAGUUUAGGCUCGUGCGGACAAGGAGCUUUGGUUCGUGCAGUUUAGGCUCGUGCAAACAAUGAGCUUUAUGUCUUGCAGUUUAGGCUCGUGUAGGCGAGGAGUGUUGGUGUCGUUUGCAGUUUCAACUCGUGCAGACAAUGAGCGUUGGUGUUGCCUUUUAUGCUCGUGCAGACCAGGAGCGUUGAUGUUGCCUUUUAUGCUCGUGCAGACCAGGAGCAUUGUGUCUUGCAGUUUAGGCUCUUACAGACAAUGAGCUUUAUGUCUUGCAGUUUAGGCUCGUGCGAACAAGGAGCAUUGUGCCAUGCAGUUUAGGCUCGUGCAGGCGAGGAGCAUUUGUGAAUUUUGUCAAGCAAUCCGGGAGAGGUGUUCCUCGCAAUCUUCGUAGCAAGGAGCCUUGACCGAGUGAUUGAAGAAGUCUUCGGGCAAGAAAUCACGCAUUGUGAUGGGGACGGACGAUCUUCGUGUCGAAGUUUCAUCAUCUUCAACACGUUCACAUUGCUUUGAAGGUUGACAAGAGAUGCUUUGCCCCCUUUCCGAUUGGCGGACUUGUGGAGGAGACGUAUGCUUCUUGUGCAAUUUCUUAGGAGUGACUUGAGUCCAUCCUUCAAUUUUGCUUGUCUUGGAGGAUGCCCCCAGCGGUUGAGGUGAAAACUUUGAGUCGGAAGAGCCAGAAGUGAAGGUGGUAUAGUUUGACUUCGCCACUUCGUCAAGAUCUAGCUCGAUGAUUCCUUUCUGAGCCAGCUUUAUGAUGAGAUCUUUUAGCACGAAACAUUUUUCUGUCGGAUGACUGAUGAAGCGGUGGAAUUUACAGUACCUUGGACUGUCGGUGCGAUUCAUCUCUUCUGGCCGUUUGCACUCAGGCAAGCCGAUCACCUUCUUUUCCAGCAAGUCUUCUAACAUGGCAACCACAUCAGAGUCGGGGAAUGGAUAAGUUUUCUCCUCAAGCUCCUUCAAAGUGUGUCUACGCAUCUCUCUUGAUCACGAAAGCCUUCGGCUUGAAUCACCUUGCCUCGUGUGGAUAUUUUGAUGGGAGAUGUGUUGACCGUCAUCGCUUCCUUGGUGGGUUUCCAUGCACCCUUUUCCACCUUUGUCCCAAGAACUUUGUCGUUCUUGUAGUCGGCGAUCGGUUCUUUCUUCCCAUGAUGGGCGAUGCUCAACUCCAUGUCAUGGGCGCGAGUGGCCAAUUCCUCGAAGGUCCGCGGUUUAAUGCCUUGAAGGAUGUAUUGCAAACCCCAUUGCAUGCCUUGGAUGCACAUCUCGAUUGAAGAGGUUUCCGAGAGCCUAUCUUUACAGUCGAGGCUUAGAGUGCGCCAUCUGUUGAUGUAGUCAAUGACUGGUUCGUCCUUCCACUGCUUCGUGCUUGUUAGCUCUAGCAUGCUCACAGUGCGGCGGGUGCUGUAGAAGCGAUUGAGGAAUUCCCGCUCCAAUUGCUCCCAACUGUUGAUGGACUCAGGCUCCAGAUCUGUGUACCACUCAAAGGCGUUUCCUUUCAGCGAGCGCACAAACUGCUUGGCGAGGUAAUCCCAUUCGGUUCCUGCGUUGUUGCAAGUUUCAACGAAGUGGGCAACGUGCUGUUUCGGGUUUCCCUUUCCAUCAAAUUGCAUGAACUUUGGUGGUUGAUAACCCUUCGGCAUCCUUAAAGCGUCGAUCUUCUUUGAAUACGGCUUUGAGUACAACCCGGAGGUAUAUGAGUUCCCUUCGUACUGUGCCUUGAUGGUGUUGGUGAUCAUCUCUUGUAGCUGCUGGAUAGAAAGAGAUCCCAUGAGUGCCGCUGCUUGGUCUGGCUCCGGCUUCGCAUCGUUUUUCUCCACAUGAGGCUCCUCUUCUUCGUCCUCUCUUCUCUUUAGUGGAUCAUUCUCUGGGUCGGGUUUAUCGCCGUCCUGCACCUCUAGUCGGUUGACUAGUGCUGCAAUUUGCAAGUCUUUUUCUUCCACAGUUCGGGUUAGCCUUGCGAUUGCUUCAUUCAUUUGAGCCAGCUGCUCAUCGAUUGAGGUUGCUCCAAUGGUCAUGACUUGCAUGGCUGAACUGUCGCUUGAAUCGGCAUCGGAGAGCAUGGAUUCGGAGUAUUUCCUUGGGCUUUCCCCCCUUGGUGCCCUUAGUGAGGCUAAGGUGAUCAAAGGCUCGUGCCUUGGGUGUUUUUGUUCCCUUGGCAGAGUUGAUGCAGAGGUGAAAGAGGUGGCAGAAGUAGCUCUUGCCAUGCUUCGAGUCGUGAUGCCCAAAGUGACACCACUUGCCACGAGGACGCUCUUGUUCUUUGCGCCGGUUGCAGGAACAGAUUGAGCCUUCCUUGAUGCCAUUAAUUUUGGAAGUGCGCUUGAAUUUCUUGAACGGAGAAAGAGAUGAGAGGCAGAGAUUGUCCCACUGGGCGUGCCAAUUUGUGAACACGGAAAAUUCCUGAAACGAAAGAGACAAGAACAACGUGCACAAACAAAUAUUUGUAUUUUUGAUAAUUUUGGGUUACAAUCUCUCUCUAUUUUGAUCCUCUGAUUCGAUCUCCGUAAGGUGUUGAUUUGUGGGAUGUGCGAUUGAUCCAAGGGCCGUCGAGGCUUGAUCUUGGAUGAACGAGGAUGAACGGAUCUUCAAGGGCUUUUGGGCUUGAUCUUGAAGAAUGGUGAUUGACGGAUCUUCAAGGGCUUUUGGGCUUGAUCUUGAAGAACAGUGAUGAACGGAUUUCCGAGGGCUUUUGGGCUUGAACUCGAAGAACAGUGACGAACGGAUCUUCGAGAGCUUUUGGGCUUGAACGGAUCUUCGAGGGCUUUUGGGCUUGAUCUCGAAGAACAGUGAUGAACGAUGAACGCUUUCUUCAAGGGCCGUCAGGACUUGGGCUUGAUGAACAGCGGAUGAGCGGAUUUGUUGAUGUUGUCGAUCCAAAGGGGCCGUUGGGGCUUGAUCCUUGAGGAUGAACAGUUGAUGAACGAUGAACGCUUUCUUCAAGGGCCGUCGGGGCUUGAUCUUGAAUUGGUGGAUGAUUGUUGAUCCAACGGGCCGUCGGGGCUUGAUCUUAGGAUGAACGAUGAACGAAGAACGCUUUCUUGAUUCUUCGGGAACCUGGAUGCUUGAGAGCUUCGGAGUUUCAGAGCUUCAGA